rnacentral:piRNA from 1 species
UGGCCAGAAGUUUUUUGAGUACUUUUUAAGGC